UACGUAGGGGGCAAGCGUUGUCCGGAUUUAUUGGGCGUAAAGAGCGUGUAGGCGGUUAGGUAGGUCAGUUGUGAAAACUCGAGGCUCAACCUCGAGACGCCGAUGGAAACCAUCUGACUAGAGUCCGGAAGAGGAGAGUGGAAUUCCUGGUGUAGCGGUGAAAUGCGCAGAUAUCAGGAGGAACACCAAUAGCGAAGGCAGCUCGCUGGGACGUUACUGACACUAAGGCGCGAAAGCGUGGGGAGCGAACAGG
rnacentral:rRNA from 1 species